rnacentral:misc_RNA from 1 species
AAGUCGUAACAAGGUCUCCGUAGGUGAACCUGCGGAGGGAUCAUUACCGAGUGUGGGCCUCCGUGCCCAACCUCCCAACCCUUUGUCCGCAUUUCAUAUCUGUUGCCUCGGGGGCGGUCACCCGGGGACUCCGCGCCGGGAGUGCCCCCCAGGAGUCCAACCAAAUACACUGCGUCUUUGCGUCGAGUAUUGAAAAACAAUCAAUCAAAA